GUUACGUCAACUAGGUUGUCAGAUGUCCUACCAGAACCUAACGUUCGCUAUAUAAUGUCAGGAAUCGUGAAAAUUUUCUGGUGUUAAAAAACUCUGCUUCUUGUUUCUCUGUUGAGAUAAUCGCUUGCAAUUCAUUAGGUUUGUUCCUGAUCCAAUCGUUUCCAUUGUUCAAUAUAUUGUUUAAUCGAUUUCUUAGCUAUCGCUUUCUGUUUCUGCAAAAGAAUCUUGAUCUGGGUAUUGACAGAUUUGGCUCUGCGAAUUAAGAAAUUGGUUAAAAUCAAAAUCUUUGAUUGAGCUGUUUGAGAAAUGGAUGUGAAACUUGCGCAACGAAUGCAAUUUUCUACUACAUGGAUUGAUUUGGACAAGCUCGUAAGGAAACAUCCCAGCGGUUCAUUGAGGUUUACUCGGGGACUGAAGGAAAAGCAGAAAUUGCCAGUGGUGGUUUCGGCUCAUUUUCGACCCAAGAGAAACAAAAAUGGGCAUAGAUCGGUUUCUUUGGAGGUUUUAUUUUCUCACAAGAACUUUCCAGCUACAGUACUGGAAUCUGGAAGUUUCCAUGCUUCUUCAGAUGAAUCGCUGAUUUUGAAGAAUAGGUCAGAAGAGGUUGGGCCUUAUAUAAAUGGACGCUGUAUAUAUCUUGUUGGUUAGUUUAUUGGAAUGAUGGGCUCUGGAAAAACCACUGUGGGCAAGAUUCUCUCACAAGUACUUGGUUAUUCAUUCUGUGACUGAUUAUCCACUUGACAACUACUACUUCUGCCAAAUAAUAUGUACAUUGUUUUACAUUUUGUGAUUGGUCCAGUGACACAUUGGUGGAGCAGGAGCUGGAUGGAACUUCAGUAGCUGAAAUCUUUAAGCUCUAUGGAGAGGGCUUCUUCAGAAAUAAAGAGACCGAGGCCUUAAGGAAGUUAUCUAUGAUGCAUCGGCUUGUUGUUUCUACUGGUGGAGGUGCAGUUAUACGGCCCAUUAAUUGGAAAUACAUGCAAAAGGGGAUCAGUAUCUGGUUGGAUGUGCCUUUGGAAGCCUUGGCACAGAGGAUUGCAGCCGUGGGAACUAAUUCUCGCCCGCUUUUGCAUCAUGAAUCAGGCGAUGAAUAUUCGAAGGUUUUCAGGCGUUUGUCCAUUCUUCUUGAAGAAAGAGGUGAAUGUUAUGCAAAUGCCAAUGCCAGGGUUUCUCUGGAAAAAAUUGCAGCAAAACUAGGAUAUAGAGAUGUUUCCAGUAUCACACCAACUGCAAUUGCGAUUGAGGUAUCUUAUGUGCAUGUAUUUUCAUAAACUUGAUACACAGGUCACACAUAACUAGGACAUAGUUCUUGAAGCAUUUUCAUCAGUUCACCAUGUGGUUGCACCACGCUGAAAUGUGUUUUUCUUACUACUAGCCCACACCCUCGCAUUAGCACAUGUUGGGUUAACUAAUUGGACUUGGACAUUUUUACCAGGCUCUAGAAAAAAUUGAGAAUUUCCUAGAGGAAGAGGAGGGCAUUGCCUAUAAUGGGAAUAUAGCUUAACAAGCCUUUGUCCGGUUGCUUUGUGACUUGCUUCCUCUUUGAGCUGUUGCGUAUGCCACGUUCCUAUUUUUAUUUGCGGAACAUGGCAUGUUGCAUGUAUUAUUUGUGCUAGUGGAUCAUCUGCGAUGCAAAUAAUGUGUAAGAUUCUUGUUAUAUGAUGCUGAAAGUGCAAUUUGUAUAUACAGUGAAGUGACGCUUGAUCUUGAGCAACAAAUAAAAAGGCUUGCGUUAACCAUUGUUGAUGCAAGUCAAUGGCAGGUUGAGUUUUGUGGGUUCCUACCUUGCGGCCUUAUCGAACGAGCUUUUAUCCUAGUGGAACUAGAGCAAUGUUUUUCUACUUUUAUGUUCAUGUACUAAUUUCUAUAUAUGUUGCACAUUGUAAGGGAGAUUAUUCGACUUUCAGUCUCGAUCAUGCAUUUGGAAAGUUUUGAUCCGGUGGCAAAUUUAACAAAACAUUGUGUUAUCAUAUCCUCAAAACUUUUUUUUUUCCUCAAAGGUAAACGCACGCACACAAAUGAAUCAUGGCAUUUUAUCAAGACAUGUUAAUCCAUAUAAAUCACCUACACACACCAUCCACAACCAGUGUAGAGUCAUGAAAGGGUGUGUCCUGUAACUGAAUCAUUAAUGUGCGUACGUUUACCUUUGAGGAAAAAAAUCAAAGUACUCGAGAGGGAGAGUCGGUGUGUGUAAGGGUACCCCUUUACAUGAGUCGGAUACAUCGGUUGUGGAUUGCGUGUGUAGGUGGCUUAUAUCCUCAAAAAUUACAUCAACAUAUUUGAACAUGUACAUGGCAGAACAGAUUGGAGUAAAAUGAUUUUGUUAUUGACUAAUUUUAUAUUCCAAGUUGUAACACCAUGCCUUCUCCAUUUUUGCUGGCGG
rnacentral:misc_RNA from 1 species